UACGGAGGGUGCAAGCGUUAUCCGGAUUUACUGGGUUUAAAGGGUGCGUAGGUGGGUAGGUAAGUCAGUGGUGAAAUCUUCGAGCUUAACUCGGAAACUGCCAUUGAUACUAUUUAUCUUGAAUACUCUGGAGGUAAGCGGAAUAUGUCAUGUAGCGGUGAAAUGCUUAGAUAUGACAUAGAACACCAAUUGCGAAAGGCAGCUUACUACAUAGUUAUUGACACUGAGGCACGAAAGCGUGGGGGAUCAAACAGG
rnacentral:rRNA from 1 species